AUUAUAAUAAUUGUUAGUUUUAUAGUAACUGCUGAUAGUUCGUCAACAACAGCUGCUACUAGGACCAAUCAUCAGAAAGAAUGUAAAACAUUGAGGGGCUCUGCCUCCAGACCGCACCUCCCAGUCACGCCCAGACGUACGUUCAAGUUCUUGUAAGGGCUUUGCCCAAUAAAUAGGAACUACUGUAUCAUCAUAUUGUUCAUCUACUAGACUGUACUAGUAAUGAAUUAAUAGCUACAGCAAUGUAUACUCCUUGUAUUGUUAUUAAAGUAUAGGUCAGGAUUCCUUAUUAAAUGCUCAUAAUUAUUCAAACUUUCUGACUGUAUGAGAAAACAUUGCUAGUAUAGCCUACACUAUGAUCAGUGAGUAAUUAAUUAUAAUUAAUUCCAGGGGGUCUAAUUCUGCCCUUUUUUUACCGACCCCUUGAAGUUUACUGUCAUGUGAAGUUACCAUUAUUCGUACAUUAAUUUUGUACAUUAUCAAUGAUACAUAAUGAAUGGUCCAUAGUAAUAUGUCAUCUCCAAUGGAAGAGACACACGUGUCAUAUAUGGUAUACACUAGUCAAUAGUGUCUGCUGGAGUAGAGGAGGAGGUGUCUGUUAUAAGGAGUGUAUCUGUUAAUAGUAUCACAUUGUACUAAUAAUAGUGAUAAUAGUAUUUAAUAAUAAUUGUUUUUAAUAGUUGUUUGCCGCUCCCAAACUGUUUGACUCCGUCACUAGUAAUGUUAUCAUAUCUUCAAUGAGACACUGGAUAAUGGAUAUAUUAUAAUAAUUGUUAGUUUUAUAGUAACUGCUGGUAGUUCGUCAACAACAGCUGCUACUAGGACCAAUCAUCAGGAACUACUGUAUCAUCAUAUUGUUCAUCUACUAGACUGUACUAGUAAUCAAUCAAUAGCUACAGCAAUGUAUACACCUUGUCUUGUAUUGUUAUUAAAGUAAAGGUCAGGAUUCCUUAUUAAAUGCUCAUAUUUAUUUAAACUUUCUGACUGUAUGAUAAAAUAUUGCUAGUAUAGCCUACAUAAUGAUCAGUGAGUAAUUAAUUAUAAUUAUCCGAGGGGGUCUAAUUCUGCACUUUUUUACCGGCCCCUUGAAGUUUACUGUCAUGUGAAGUUACCAUUAUUCAUACAUUAAUUUUGUAUAUUAUCAAUGAUACAUAAUGAAUGGUCUGUAGUAAGUAUGUCAUCUCCAAUGGAAGAGAUACACAGUACAUAUAUGGUAUACUAUACUCAACAGUGUCUGCUGGAGUAGAGGAGGAAGUGUCUGUUAUAAGGAGUGUAUCUGUUAAUAGUAUCACAUUGUACUAAUAAUAGUGAUAAUAGUAUUUAAUAAUAAUUGUUUUUAAUAGUUGUUUGUGGUUCCCAAACUGUUUGACUCCUCCCACUACUGUCACUAUUUUAUAGUAACUGCUGGUAGUUCAUCAACAACAGCUGCUACUAGAGACCAACCAUCAGGUUAGUUCAAAUUAUAGUCAGACUCUCCCCUGGUCAGGCGUUGGGUCUCAGUAUUGUUGGUGGGUGUGGCUCUCCCACUGGGGACGUACCCAUUUACGUAAAGAGGAUCCUACCUGAGUCAGUGCUACAGAAAGACUCAAAGAUAAAGACUAGAGAUGAACUGGUAGCAGUUAAUGAUUUAAUAAUACAUAAUGUAUACUACAUGUAUGUCCUGACAUAGUACAACUAAGGUUUAUGCUACUCAGCUACUGGUGGCUGGUGCACUUAUUAAUGUACAGGCAUCAAGUGUCAGUGGUACAGGGAACAGUGAGACUACUACUUAUACAAGACCUGCUGUAUAAAUUAUUGUUAUGAUAUGUGGACUGUAUUGAAUGAAUCUAUUUUGAUCUCUUUCUUUUAUUUAUUUCUUCUCUUGUGUUGUUAAAAGUAAAAAUGAGAAUUAGUUCAUUGCUCACUGCA